rnacentral:rRNA from 1 species
CGGGUGAGUAACACGUGGAUAACCUACCUAUAAGACUGGGAUAACUUCGGGAAACCGGAGCUAAUACCGGAUAAUAUAUUGAACCGCAUGGUUCAAUAGUGAAAGACGGUUUUGCUGUCACUUAUAGAUGGAUCCGCGCCGCAUUAGCUAGUUGGUAAGGUAACGGCUUACCAAGGCAGCGAUGCGUAGCCGACCUGAGAGGGUGAUCGGCCACACUGGAACUGAGACACGGUCCAGACUCCUACGGGAGGCAGCAGCAC